AAUCCAUAGGUUAAUGAGGCGAACCGGGGGAACUGAAACAUCUAAGUACCCCGAGGAAAAGAAAUCAACCGAGAUUCCCCCAGUAGCGGCGAGCGAACGGGGAGGAGCCCAGAGCCUGAAUCAGCAUGUGUGUUAGUGGAAGCGUCUGGAAAGGCGCGCGAUACAGGGUGACAGCCCCGUACACAAAAGCGCAUGUGCUGUGAGCUCGAUGAGUAGGGCGGGACACGUGGUAUCCUGUCUGAAUAUGGGGGGACCAUCCUCCAAGGCUAAAUACUCCUGACUGACCGAUAGUGAACCAGUACCGUGAGGGAAAGGCGAAAAGAACCCCGGCGAGGGGAGUGAAAAAGAACCUGAAACCGUGUACGUACAAGCAGUGGGAGCACCCUUUGGGUGUGACUGCGUACCUUUUGUAUAAUGGGUCAGCGACUU
rnacentral:rRNA from 3 species